rnacentral:tRNA from 1 species
UGUGGGGUGCCGGAGAAAACGGAGUGCUUUGAUAAGGCACACAUGUGUGUUAACACUCCCACAA